AAUUUUCCUCAGCAAACUAACGCAGGAACAGAAAACCAAACACUGCAUGUUCUUACUUAUAAAUGGGAGCUGAAUGAUGAGAACAGAAAGACACAUCGUGGGGAACAACACACACUGGGACCUGUCGGGGUCCACAAUGGCACACAUUUACCGCUAACAAACAUGCAAAGUUACAGGAAUGUUUAUACAUUGGUGGGCAGAAUAUAAAAGGGUACAGUUCCUCUGAUAAACAAUUUCAAAAUUUCAUAUAUAUUUGAAGAUACACUUAGUGUAUAACCAAGCAAUCCCACUUCUAGGUCUCUACCCUAGAAAAUGAAAACUUACAUCUAUACAAAUGUUUGUACAUGAAUGUUUGUAGCAGAAUUUUUAUAAUUGCCCCAAAUUAAAAACAAUUUAAAUACUGUGUACAUAAAUGUAUAUAACAAUUUUAUUCAUAACUUCCAAAAACUGAAAAUAAGUAAGAAAUCCUUCAACAAUUUAAUUCAUGGACAAAUUGUGGUACAUCCACGCAAUGGAAUACUAUGUAGUCACAAAAAGAAUUAACUCUUAAUACAUUCCAUGACAUGGAUAAAUUAUGCACUACCAUGAAUAAAAGAAGCUUCUUUCAAAAUAUUACAUAAGAUUUCAUUUCUUUAACAUUCUGGAAAAUAUUUAAAAAUAUACAUAGGAAUGGAAAACAGAGUAGGGCUUAUCAGAUAUUAGGGACAGAGGAAGGGUUUGACCUCAGAGGGAUAGCAUAAG
rnacentral:lncRNA from 10 species